rnacentral:rRNA from 1 species
AUUGAACGCUGGCGGCAGGCCUAACACAUGCAAGUCGAGCGAGCGGCGGACGGGUGAGUAAUGUAUGGGGACUGCCCGAUAGAGGGGGAUAACUACUGGAAACGGUAGCUAAUACCGCAUACUAUCGGAUAACCCAUAUGGGAUUAGCUAGAAGGUGGGGUAAUGGCUCACCUAGGCGACGCACCCACGCUGGUCUGAGAGGAUGGUCAGCCACACGGGGACUGAGACACGGCCCAGACUCCUACGGAGGCAGCAGUGGGGAAUAUUGCACAAUGGGCGCAAGCCUGAUGCAGCCAUGCCGCGUGUAUGAAGAAGGCCCGAGGGUUGUAAAGUACUUUCAGUCGGGAGGCUUUACCGACAGAAGAAGCACCGGCUAACUCCGUGCCAGCAGCCGCGGUAAUUC